GGGUGGUUAGCUCAGCUGGGAGAGCGCCUGCUUGACGUGCAGGAGGUCACAGGUUCGAGCCCUGUACUACCCACCA
rnacentral:tRNA from 1 species